rnacentral:rRNA from 1 species
GGUCAAGUUAUUAAGGGUGCAGGGCGGAUGCCUUGGCACUAGGAGCCGAUGAAGGACGUGAUAAGCUGCGAUAAGCUUCGGGGAGUUGCACGUAAACUUUGAUCCGAAGAUUUCCGAAUGAGGAAACUCACUUAGAGUAAUGUCUAAGUAUCAUUAAGUGAAUACAUAGCUUAAUGAGGGGAACUCAGGGAACUGAAACAUCUAAGUACCUGAAGGAAGAGAAAGAAAUUCGAUUCCGUAAGUAGCGGCGAGCGAACGCGGAUUAGCCCAAACCAAUAAAGUUUUCUUUAUUGGGGUUGCGGACAUAUCAUAACGAAGAGGUAUCGUAAUUGAAGAGGUUUGGAAAGACCCACCACAGAAGGUAAUAGUCCUGUAUGUUAAACGAGAAGACUUCAGAUAUGAUCCAGAGUACCACGGGACACGUGAAACCCUGUGGGAAGCAGGAGGGACCACCCUCCAAGGCUAAAUACUACCUAGUGACCGAUAGCGUAUAGUACCGUGAGGGAAAGGUGAAAAGAACCCCGGGAGGGGAGUGAAAUAGAACCUGAAACCCUGCACUUACAAGCUGUGGAAGCACAUUUCUUGUGUGACCGCGUACUUUUUGUAGAACGGGCCAACGAGUUACGUUAAGUAGCAAGGUUAAGCACUUAAGGUGCGGAGCCGUAGCGAAAGCGAGUUUUAACUGAGCGUUCAGUUACUUGACGUAGACCCGAAACCGGGCGACCUACCCAUGAGCAGGAUGAAGCGAAAGUAAAAUUUCGUGGAGGUCCGAACCCACGAGCGUUGAAAAGCUCGGGGAUGACUUGUGGAUAGCGGUGAAAUUCCAAUCGAGCCCGGAGAUAGCUGGUUCUCCCCGAAAUAGCUUUAGGGCUAGCCUCAAGGUGAGAGAUACGGAGGUAGAGCACUGAAUGUCCUAGGGGGUAUUGCACCUACCGAAGACUAUCAAACUCCGAAUGCCGUCAUCUUAUACUUGGGAGUCAGACUGUGGGUGAUAAGAUUCAUAGUCGAAAGGGCAACAGCCCAGAUCGUCAGCUAAGGUCCCUAAAUGUAAGUUAAGUGGUAAAGGAUGUGGGAUUGCACAGACAACCAGGAUGUUGGCUUAGAAGCAGCCACUCAUUCAAAGAGUGCGUAAUAGCUCACUGGUCGAGUGAUCCUGCGCCGAAGAUUUCCGGGGCUAAAACUUACUACCGAAGCUACGGCAUCAGUAAUGAUGGGUAGGGGAGCUUCCCAUACGGGUUGAAGC